AGCGGCAGGCUUAACACAUGCAAGUCGAGGGGUAUAGGUUUUCGGACCUAGAGACCGGCGCACGGGUGCGUAACGCGUAUGCAAUCUACCUUUCACAGAGGGAUAGCCCAGAGAAAUUUGGAUUAAUACCUCAUAGUAUAUCGAGUUGGCAUCAACAUGAUAUUAAAGAUUUAUCGGUGAAAGAUGAGCAUGCGUCCCAUUAGCUAGUUGGUAUGGUAACGGCAUACCAAGGCUACGAUGGGUAGGGGUCCUGAGAGGGAGAUCCCCCACACUGGUACUGAGACACGGACCAGACUCCUACGGGAGGCAGCAGUGAGGAAUAUUGGACAAUGGGCGCAAGCCUGAUCCAGCCAUGCCGCGUGCAGGAUGACGGUCCUAUGGAUUGUAAACUGCUUUUAUACGAGAAGAAACACUCCUUCGUGAAGGAGCUUGACGGUAUCGUAAGAAUAAGGAUCGGCUAACUCCGUGCCAGCAGCCGCGGUAAUACGGAGGAUCCAAGCGUUAUCCGGAAUCAUUGGGUUUAAAGGGUCCGUAGGCGGUUUAGUAAGUCAGUGGUGAAAGCCCAUCGCUCAACGGUGGAACGGCCAUUGAUACUGCUAGACUUGAAUUAUUAGGAAGUAACUAGAAUAUGUAGUGUAGCGGUGAAAUGCUUAGAGAUUACAUGGAAUACCAAUUGCGAAGGCAGGUUACUACUAAUGGAUUGACGCUGAUGGACGAAAGCGUGGGUAGCGAACAGGAUUAGAUACCCUGGUAGUCCACGCCGUAAACGAUGGAUACUAGCUGUUGGGAGCAAUCUCAGUGGCUAAGCGAAAGUGAUAA
rnacentral:rRNA from 1 species